rnacentral:rRNA from 1 species
AGUGAACGCUGGCGGUAGGCCUAACACAUGCAAGUCGAACGGCAGCACAGUAAGAGCUUGCUCUUACGGGUGGCGAGUGGCGGACGGGUGAGGAAUACAUCGGAAUCUACUUUUUCGUGGGGGAUAACGUAGGGAAACUUACGCUAAUACCGCAUACGACCUACGGGUGAAAGCAGGGGAUCUUCGGACCUUGCGCGAUUGAAUGAGCCGAUGUCGGAUUAGCUAGUUGGCGGGGUAGAGGCCCACCAAGGCGACGAUCCGUAGCUGGUCUGAGAGGAUGAUCAGCCACACUGGAACUGAGACACGGUCCAGACUCCUACGGGAGGCAGCAGUGGGGAAUAUUGGACAAUGGGCGCAAGCCUGAUUCAGCCAUACCGCGUGGGUGAAGAAGGCCUUCGGGUUGUAAAGCCCUUUUGUUGGGAAAGAAAAGCAGCAGGUUAAUACCCCGCUGUUCUGACGGUACCCAAAGAAUAAGCACCGGCUAACUUCGUG